UACAGAGGUCUCAAGCGUUGUUCGGAUUCAUUGGGCGUAAAGGGCGCGUAGGCGGCCAGGCAAGUCGGGUGUGAAAGCUUGGGGCUUAACCCCGAAAGGGCACUCGAAACUGCGUUGCUAGAGGGCCGGAGAGGAGAUCGGAAUUCACGGUGUAGCAGUGAAAUGCGUAGAGCUCGUGAGGAAGACCGGUGGCGAAGGCGGAUCUCUGGACGGCCCCUGACGCUGAGGCGCGAAGGCUAGGGGAGCAAACGGG
rnacentral:rRNA from 1 species